rnacentral:rRNA from 1 species
UGGGGAAUUUUGGACAAUGGGGGAAACCCUGAUCCAGCCAUCCCGCGUGUGCGAUGAAGGCCUUCGGGUUGUAAAGCACUUUUGGCAGGAAAGAAACGUCAUGGGUUAAUACCCCGUGAAACUGACGGUACCUGCAGAAUAAGCACCGGCUAACUACGUGCCAGCAGCCGCGGUAAUACGUAGGGUGCAAGCGUUAAUCGGAAUUACUGGGCGUAAAGCGUGCGCAGGCGGUUCGGAAAGAAAGAUGUGAAAUCCCAGAGCUCAACUUUGGAACUGCAUUUUUAACUACCGGGCUAGAGUGUGUCAGAGGGAGGUGGAAUUCCGCGUGUAGCAGUGAAAUGCGUAGAUAUGCGGAGGAACACCGAUGGCGAAGGCAGCCUCCUGGGAUAACACUGACGCUCAUGCACGAAAGCGUGGGGAGCAAACAGGAUUAGA